UACGAGAGUGUGCAAGCUAAUACUGCACAAUGCAAGAAGCUUGUAAAUGCCUUGUGCCAGUUGCGGCCAGGGACUGUUCUGGUAAAAGGAAAUGCCAGCAUAUUAGGCAAAAAGAUUUCAGUUUUGUUUGAAGAUCACAUUAAGGAAAGACUGAAAGAGGUGGUUUGUUUAAAAGAAGGCAAUUCAAACUGCUAUGAACCACAUUGGAGGCAUAUCAGAUGGGUUCAAAGACAGCCCCUCAAUGAAGCCUUGGAACUCAGAAAUUCGGAGAAGGGAAUUGAGGAGAGAGCAAAACUUUUUGGAAAGG